UUGAAAAAACAAUGAAUGUCAACCAAGUUGUAGAUGGUAUCGAAUGUCUUCAGCAGUCAAGUCUACAAACAUUGCACACAACGCCCAUGCCCAUAAAUGAAGUACCACCAUCUGAUGACAUAGGAAAAACAGACUAGAUGUGAUGAAUGCACCUAAUACCUUCACUCCUUAUUUGCUAACAAUGUCUAUUACCAAUAGGGUGGAAAGAGGACUCAAUAAUUUGCAGGUCAUGGAGAUUUUCAUAAAUAAAAAAGACUUCGCAAGAUGCAUUAAAGAGGUUCUCCAUGCAUAUUUGGUGUCCUGACUUGUGAAAACAUGGAGAAGGUAGAUUUACAGUACAUUAGGUUAUAUUUGAAACUAUGCUAAGAAGUCUCCAGAGUUACUUUCUUCAUGCUACUAAUAGUGUACAAUUUUUUAUUGUUGCAUUGUAUAAUAACCACAAGCUUUAAGCUGUGUUGGUGGUAAAUCUGGGAAUAAGGGUGCAGAGGCAGCUUUAACUGCUA